rnacentral:lncRNA from 1 species
GCGGACGCGGUCUCCUUACCUCAUUUGUCCUCGCCCCUCCCCGUCCCUCUACGCGUUUUGGUCCCUGUUUGGUGCUUUCUGUUUGCAGCUACGGCAGUGAGUAUAUCUGGGCAUAGGAACCAACCAGAAACAAUCGCUUCAGCAAUCAAGACCAUUGUUCAUCAUGGAGGAACCCAUAGAUACCUCUGAGCCUCUAUCUGCAUUACCAUUCACUGGGCAGCAGUCUUUUGAGCCAAGUGGCAAAUUUGGACAGUAUCCAUCCAAUGCAGAUGAACCACAUCCAGGCACUGGGGAGGUGGAGGACAUAGAACA